UGUAUUUUUAAAUCAUUGCCAUCAAAAUAAUUAGUAUAAAAUACUCGACGAACAAAACACAAUGCUAUACAAAUGGAAUACGAUCGACGGAAUACCCUGUGAUAAGGCUUGAUUGAAUUUGCAAGCAAACACACUGCUUGCAUAUGCAGUAAGGGGUUCAGCAAGCAGUUUAGAUUAUGCAACGGCUGUCAACUGCUUCUUGUUUCUUAUCAAUUCAAACACAUUAAACCAGUCGAGAUUAUCAGUUACAUUUUCUAUUUGAUCGGACAUCCGCUUGACAAGUUAAAAAGUAGUAGGGAGGGAAUCUGCCAGUCGACUACGGUCGACUAUUGCAAUAAAAGUCGCCCAUAAAGCAAUGGAAAUACAUGUCAA